UUAUAAAACUUUAUUUAUUAUCCAUGUGGAAUUUGGAAUUUUCCCAAAAAAGGGCUUCUCUUCUCCCAUUUCUUCUUCUAUUAUCUCGUCCUUUAUCUUCUCUCCUACAUUUGGAGCCACCAAGUCACAUAUCUCUCCUUAGUCACCGAUCAAUAUUGUCACGACCCUAUCUUCGACAGAACGUUCCCCACCUGAUCCCCUGCCUCAAACUUCAGCCUCUAUGGUUGAUCUUCACAUGCUGACACGGGACCAAAGGGUCCCCCUUCAAAGCCACCGUGAAAUAUGUGCGACAUGAUCUAUUUAUUGUUGAUUGGUUUGAGAUCUAAUUGCCUUGAUGUUAACUUUUUGCGUCUCAAGUGAAUCUUUUGUUGGUGUUUUUUUUGGGUAUUAUUAGGCUGUUUCAAGUUUAUGCCCCAUCUGAUUGUUGAAAAGUCUCUCAAGUGUUUGGCCUUUUGAAAUUGUAUUUGGAGGAAGGGGGUUAAUGAUGGUUGCCGCCAACCUCGACUUCCUUUUAGCUUUACAAACGACCUCUGUAUGCGUGAUUAGAUUGAUCAUUUCUAGAUCCAUCCUUCGCCAUGGACACGAUACAUGUGUGAAAAAAUUUAGUUUGGUUGUUAAAUAUAAGUUAGUCUUAGUUCAUUUCUACUAAUAACUGAAUUCAGUUUAGUUUAGUUUGUUUUGUAAGGUCUGUUAAUUUUAAUUUCGUUUAUAUAUAUAUAAGACUUGGGUCAUCUUUUUUAGGAGAGUUUUUCAAUUCAUAUUAUUCUUCUUCUCUUAAUUCAAUAUGGUAUCAGAGCAACAAUGACCAAGAGAGUACCGAUGCAUCUCUUACUAUUAUUCAUCGGUAUAAUCAAAUUCUUCAAUUUCUCCAAAAUAAUCUUGUUGUUUCUUCAUCUUCAACAUUGAUUCAUCCUUCAACUAAUAUGGUUGUUAUUCAAAAUGAUCAUAUCAAUUCAGUUUCCUCUUCAUUACUAAGUAAGCAAGUCGUCUAUUGGAUAAUGGAUAUAGAAUUACCCAAAAAAAGUGAUUGGUAGAGCUGAUAGACAUGGAGAUCUCUAUGUCUUCCAAGCUCGAGUCAACAUAUUUCUCCUUAUAUCUAGUAAUUCUUGUAAUAAUACUCUAUGUUUCAAAUUUUUCCAUUUUAUGGCACCAUAGAUUAGGUCACAUUUAUGAUUUUACACAUAAAUGUAUUGCUUCGCAUUUUCCUUUCAUUUCUUACAAGUUUAAUAAAAAUUUGUCAUACAUGUCAAUUUGCUAAACAAAGAAAGUUACCUUAUCCUAUUAGAACUAGUCAAUCCUCUAUGAUUUGAUAUUUUGCACGCUGA